GACGAACGCUGGCGGCGUGCUUAACACAUGCAAGUCGAACGGAAAGGCCCUGCUUUUGUGGGGUGCUCGAGUGGCGAACGGGUGAGUAACACGUGAGUAACCUGCCCUUGACUUUGGGAUAACUUCAGGAAACUGGGGCUAAUACCGGAUAGGAGCUCCUGCUGCAUGGUGGGGGUUGGAAAGUUUCGGCGGUUGGGGAUGGACUCGCGGCUUAUCAGCUUGUUGGUGGGGUAGUGGCUUACCAAGGCUUUGACGGGUAGCCGGCCUGAGAGGGUGACCGGCCACAUUGGGGCUGAGAUACGGCCCAGACUCCUACGGGAGGCAGCAGCGGGGAAUAUUGCACAAUGGGCGGAAGCCUGAUGCAGCAACGCCGCGUGCGGGAUGACGGCCUUCGGGGUGUAAACCGCCUUCGCCUGUGACGAAGCGUGAGGGACGGUAAUGGGUAAAGAAGCACCGGCUAACUACGUG
rnacentral:rRNA from 1 species